AAAAACAUGGCUUUUUGAUAAUAAUUUAAAGUCUGACCUGCCCACUGAGUUUUAAAUGGCCGCAGUAUCCUGACUGUGCAAAGGUAGCAUAAUCAUUAGUUUUUUAAUUGAAAGCUUGUAUGAAAGGUCGGAUGAAAAAAUAGCUGUCUCUAUAAAAAUUUAUUAGAACUUUAUUUUUAAGUAAAAAAGCUUAAAUAAUAAUGGAAGACGAGAAGACCCUAUAGAGUUUUAUAUUUAUUUAAUUUGGGACUUUUAGUAUUUUAACUUUUUUUUUAUUAUAUUAUUUGGUUGGGGUGAUUGAGAAAUUAAAUAAACUUUCUUUUUAUUUAUACAUUUAUUUAUGAGAAAAUGAUCCUUAUUUAGAGAUUAAAAGAUUAAAUUACCUUAGGGAUAACAGCGUAAUUUUUUUUGAGAGCCCAAAUCGAAAGAAAAGAUUGCGACCUCGAUGUUGGAUUAAAUUAAAUUUCUGGUGUAGAAGCUAGAACAAUUAGGUCUGUUCGACCUUUAAAAUUUUACUUGAUCUGAGUU
rnacentral:rRNA from 2 species